rnacentral:rRNA from 1 species
AUUGAACGCUGGCGGCAGGCUUAACACAUGCAAGUCGAACGAGUGGCGGACGGGUGAGUAAUGCCUGGGAAUCUAGCUUAUGGAGGGGGAUAACUACUGGAAACUGUAGCUAAUACCGCAUACCAUCAGAUGUGCCCAGGUGGGAUUAGGUAGUUGGUGGGGUAAAGGCUCACCAAGGCGACGCUCUCUAGCUGGUCUGAGAGGAUGACCAGCCACACUGGAACUGAGACACGGCCCAGACUCCUACGGGAGGCAGCAGUGGGGAAUAUUGCGCAAUGGGGGCAACCCUGAUGCAGCCAUGCCGCGUGAAUGAAGAAGGCCUUCGGGUUGUAAAGCUCUUUCAGCAGGGAGGCGUUAAUCGCAGAAGAAGCACCGGCUAACUCCGUGCCAGCAGCCGCGGUAAUUC